CAGCCAUGCCGCGUGAGUGAAGAAGGCCUUCGGGUUGUAAAGCUCUUUCAGAUGCGAAGAUGAUGACGGUAACAUCAGAAGAAGCCCCGGCUAAUUUCGUGCCAGCAGCCGCGGUAAU
rnacentral:rRNA from 1 species